GAUCAGGUCAGCUGUUCUUUCAUUCUCAAAAUGAAGUUGAAAAAGGCAACUGAAGACAAACGUUAUCCAGUCUGAAGAGCACUUUACUGAAUAGCUCAAGGACUCCUUUAAUACUGCAAGAUACCAUCCUGUGUUGACUCCAAAUUCAGUAAGCCUUCUCUGAGG